rnacentral:rRNA from 1 species
UUUGAUCCUGCCGGAGGCCAUUGCUAUUGGGAUCCGAUUUAGCCAUGCUAGUCGCACGAGUUCGGACUCGUGGCGAAUAGCUCAGUAACACGUGGCCAAACUACCCUUCGGAACACAAUACCCUCGGGAAACUGAGGCUAAUAGUGUAUCCCAUACCACCACUGGAAUGAGUGGUAUGCCAAACGCUCCGGCGCCGAAGGAUGUGGCUGCGGCCGAUUAGGUAGACGGUGGGGUAACGGCCCACCGUGCCAAUAAUCGGUAUGGGUCAUGAGAGUGAGAACCCAGAGACGGAAUCUGAGACAAGAUUCCGGGCCCUACGGGGCGCAGCAGGCGCGAAACCUUUACACUGCACGACAGUGCGAUAGGGGGAUCCCAAGUGCACAGGCAUAGCGCCUGUGCUUUUCGGCACCCUAAGGCGGUGCCAGAAUAAGGGCUGGGCAAGACCGGUGCCAGCCGCCGCGGUAAUACCGGCAGCCCAAGUGAUGGCCGAUCUUAUUGGGCCUAAAGCGUCCGUAGCUGGCCGCGCAAGUCCAUCGGGAAAUCCACCUGCUCAACAGGUGGGCGCCCGGUAGAAACUGCGUGGCUUGGGACCGGAAGGCGCGACGGGUACGUCCGGGGUAGGAGUGAAAUCCCGUAAUCCUGGACGGACCGCCGAUGGCGAAAGCACGUCGCGAGAACGGAUCCGACAGUGAGGGACGAAAGCCAGGGUCUCGAACCGGAUUAGAUACCCGGGUAGUCCUGGCCGUAAACAAUGUCUGCUAGGUGUGGCUCCCACUACGAGUGGGUGCUGUGCCGUAGGGAAGCCGCUAAGCAGACCGCCUGGGAAGUACGUCCGCAAGGAUGAAACUUAAAGGAAUUGGCGGGGGAGCACUACAACCGGAGGAGCCUGCGGUUUAAUUGGACUCAACGCCGGACAUCUCACCAGCAUCGACUGUAAUAAUGACGACCAGGUUGAUGACCUUGUCCGAGUUUCAGAGAGGAGGUGCAUGGCCGCCGUCAGCUCGUACCGUGAGGCGUCCUGUUAAGUCAGGCAACGAGCGAGACCCGCACCCUUACUUGCCAGCAGUACCGCGAGGUAGCUGGGGACAGUAGGGGGACCGCCGUGGCUAACACGGAGGAAGGAACGGGCAACGGUAGGUCAGUAUGCCCCGAAUGUGCUGGGCAACACGCGGGCUACAAUGGUCGAGACAAAGGGUUCCUACUCCGAAAGGAGACGGUAAUCUCAGAAACUCGAUCGUAGUUCGGAUUGUGGGCUGCAACUCGCCCACAUGAAGCUGGAUUCGGUAGUAAUCGCGUGUCACAAGCGCGCGGUGAAUACGUCCCUGCUCCUUGCACACACCGCCCGUCAAAGCACCCGAGUGAGGUCCGGAUGAGGCGUUCCACGAACGUCGAAUCUGGGCUUCGCAAGGGGGCUUAAGUCGUAACAAGGUAGCCGUAGGGGAAUCUGCGGCUGG